rnacentral:rRNA from 1 species
UACGGGGGGAGCAAGCGUUGUUCGGAUUUACUGGGCGUAAAGGGCGCGUAGGCGGCCACCGCAAGUCACUUGUGAAAUCUCCGGGCUUAACCCGGAAAGGUCAACUGAUACUGCGGGGCUAGAGUGCAGAAGGGGCAACUGGAAUUCUCGGUGUAGCGGUGAAAUGCGUAGAUAUCGAGAGGAACACCUGCGGCGAAGGCGGGUUGCUGGGCUGACACUGACGCUGAUGUGCGAAAGCUGGGGGAGCGAACGGG